rnacentral:rRNA from 1 species
GUAGUCAUAUGCUUGUCUCAAAGAUUAAGCCAUGCAUGUCUGAGUAUAAGCAAUCUAUACGGUGAAACUGCGAAUGGCUCAUUAAAUCAGUUAUCGCUUAUUUGAUAGUACCUUACUACAUGGAUACCUGUGGUAAUUCUAGAGCUAAUACAUGCUAAAAACCUCGACUUCGGAAGGGGUGUAUUUAUUAGAUAAAAAACCAAUGCCCUUCGGGGCUUCUUGGUGAUUCAUAAUAACUUCUCGAAUAGCAUGGCCUUGCGCCGGCGAUGGUUCAUUCAAAUUUCUGCCCUAUCAACUUUCGAUGGUAGGAUAGUGGCCUACCAUGGUGGCAACGGGUAACGGGGAAUA